GAUGAACGCUGGCGGCGUGCCUAAUACAUGCAAGUCGAGCGAACGGACGAGAAGCUUGCUUCUCUGAUGUUAGCGGCGGACGGGUGAGUAACACGUGGAUAACCUACCUAUAAGACUGGGAUAACUUCGGGAAACCGUAGCUAAUACCGGAUAAUAUUUUGAACCGCAUGGUUCAAAAGUGAAAGACGGUCUUGCUGUCACUUAUAGAUGGAUCCGCGCUGCAUUAGCUAGUUGGUAAGGUAACGGCUUACCAAGGCAACGAUGCAUAGCCGACCUGAGAGGGUGAUCGGCCACACUGGAACUGAGACACGGUCCAGACUCCUACGGGAGGCAGCAGUAGGGAAUCUUCCGCAAUGGGCGAAAGCCUGACGGAGCAACGCCGCGUGAGUGAUGAAGGUCUUCGGAUCGUAAAACUCUGUUAUUAGGGAAGAUCAUAUGUGUAAGUAACUGUGCACAUCUUGACGGUACCUAAUCAGAAAGCCACGGCUAACUACGUG
rnacentral:rRNA from 1 species